rnacentral:rRNA from 1 species
UGCGUAGGCGGCGCUGUAAGUUGGGUGUGAAAUCCCUCGGCUCAACCGAGGAACUGCGCCCAAAACUACAGUGCUUGAGGGAGAUAGAGGUGAGCGGAACUUAGGGUGGAGCGGUGAAAUGCGUUGAUAUCCUAAGGAACGCCAGGGGCGAAAGCGGCUCACUGGGUCUCUUCUGACGCUGAGGCACGAAAGCUAGGGUAGCGAACG